rnacentral:rRNA from 1 species
GACGAACGCUGGCGGCGUGCCUAAUACAUGCAAGUAGAACGCUGAAGAGAGGAGCUUGCUCUUCUUGGAUGAGUUGCGAACGGGUGAGUAACGCGUAGGUAACCUGCCUUGUAUCGGGGGAUAACUAUUUGAAACGAUAGCUAAUACCGCAUAACAAUGCAUGCCACAUGUCAUUUAUUUUAAAGGGGCCAUUGCUCCACUACAAGAUGGACCUGCGUUGUAUUAGCUAGUAGGUGAGGUAAUGGCUCACCUAGGCGACGAUACAUAGCCGACCUGAGAGGGAGAUAGGCCACACUGGGACUGAGACAAGGCCCAGACUCCUACGGGAGGCAGCAGUAGGGAAUCUUCGGAAAUGGGGGCAACCCUGAACGAGCAACGCCGGGUGAGUGAAGAAGGGUUUCGGAUCGGAAAGCUCUGUUGUAAGUCAAGAAAGGGUGUGAGAGUGGAAAGUUCACACUGUGACGGUAGCUUACCAGAAAGGGACGGCUAACUACGUG